rnacentral:RNase_P_RNA from 2 species
GGGCAGGUAGAAAGUGGUCACCCUGAUGAAACAUCAGGGAGGAAAGUCCGGGCUCCAGAGGACAGCGUAGCGGGUAAUGCCCGUCCCCGCCAGGGGAAACCUGGCGGGCGGAUUCCCCCCUCGCUAGAUAAUAGCAGGGGGACCCGCCGGUGGCAUUUUUUGAGUCGGCGGGAGAGCCACAGAGACGAGUCUGCCACGAAUCGUGGCGGGGGGAAACGAGGCAAUCUCUACGCGGAGCAAGGCGGAAUAGGAGACAAGCCCGCCACAGUGGGCAGGUGCUGGUCCGGCACCUCAAAAAGUCUCGGGUAAACUGCUUGAGGGUGGAUGGCAACAUCCACUUCGAGAGAAAUGACCACUCUAGGUAAGCGAAAGAAUCGCAACCGACACAGAACCCGGCUUAUUCUACCUGUCCUCAC